UACAGAGGUCUCAAGCGUUGUUCGGAUUCAUUGGGCGUAAAGGGUGCGUAGGCGGCGCGGUAAGUCGGGUGUGAAAUCUCGGAGCUUAACUCCGAAACUGCAUUCGAUACUGCCGUGCUUGAGGACUGGAGAGGAGACUGGAAUUUACGGUGUAGCGGUGAAAUGCGCAGAUAUCGGGAGGAACACCAGUGGCGAAGGCGGCACUCUGGGCCGGUACUGACGCUGAGGAGCGAAAGCGUGGGGAGCAAGCAGG
rnacentral:rRNA from 1 species